UGCAGUCGAGCGGACAGAUGGGAGCUUGCUCCCUGAUGUUAGCGGCGGACGGGUGAGUAACACGUGGGUAACCUGCCUGUAAGACUGGGAUAACUCCGGGAAACCGGGGCUAAUACCGGAUGCUUGAUUGAACCGCAUGGUUCAAUUAUAAAAGGUGGCUUUUAGCUACCACUUACAGAUGGACCCGCGGCGCAUUAGCUAGUUGGUGAGGUAACGGCUCACCAAGGCGACGAUGCGUAGCCAACCUGAGAGGGUGAUCGGCCACACUGGGACUGAAACACGGCCCAAACUCCUACGGGAGGCAGCAGUAGGGAAUCUUCCGCAAUGGACGAAAGUCUGACGGAGCAACGCCGCGUGAGUGAUGAAGGUUUUCGGAUCGUAAAACUCUGUUGUUAGGGAAAAACAAGUACCGUUCGAAUAGGGCGGUACCUUGACGGUACCUAACCAAAAAGCCACGGCUAACUACGUGCCAGCAGCCGCGGUAAUACGUAGGUGGCAAGCGUUGUCCGGAAUUAUUGGGCGUAAAGCGCGCGCAGGCGGUUUCUUAAGUCUGAUGUGAAAGCCCCCGGCUCAACCGGGGAGGGUCAUUGGAAACUGGGGAACUUGAGUGCAGAAGAGGAGA
rnacentral:rRNA from 1 species